rnacentral:rRNA from 1 species
UACGUAGGUGACAAGCGUUGUCCGGAUUUACUGGGCGUAAAGAGCGCGCAGGCGGUCGAUCAAGUCGAGUGUGAAAGCCCCCGGCUCAACUGGGGAGGGUCAUUCGAUACUGAUCGACUCGAAGGCAGGAGAGGGUAGUGGAAUUCCCGGUGUAGUGGUGAAAUGCGUAGAUAUCGGGAGGAACACCGGUGGCGAAGGCGGUUCUCUGGGCCUUACCUGACGCUGAGGAGCGAAAGCGUGGGGAGCGAAACAGG